GGGCGUGUGGCUCAGUUGGUAGAGCGUUCGCUUAGCAUACUCUCUGUCUCUCGUAUGCGAAAGGUCCUGGGUUCGAUUCCCAGCUCGUCCA
rfam:Thielavia terrestris NRRL 8126 chromosome 4, complete sequence.